AGAGUUUGAUCCUGGCUCAGGAUGAACGCUAGCGACAGGCUUAACACAUGCAAGUCGAGGGGCAGCACGGUGUAGCAAUACACCGGUGGCGACCGGCGCACGGGUGAGUAACACGUGUGCAACCAACCCCGUACCGGGAGAUAACCCGCGGAAACGUGGACUAACACCCCAUAACACCUUUCCCCCGCAUGAGGGCGAGGUUAAAACCCCGGUGGUACGGGACGGGCACGCGCGACAUUAGGUAGUUGGCAGGGUAACGGCCCACCAAGCCGACGAUGUCUAGGGGUUCUGAGAGGAAGGUCCCCCACACUGGAACUGAGACACGGUCCAGACUCCUACGGGAGGCAGCAGUGAGGAAUAUUGGUCAAUGGGCGAGAGCCUGAACCAGCCAAGUCGCGUGAGGGAAGAAUGGUCUAUGGCCUGUAAACCUCUUUUGUCAAGGAAGAAUAAGCGGCACGAGUGCCACCUUGCCAGUACUUGACGAAUAAGCAUCGGCUAACUCCGUGCCAGCAGCCGCGGUAAUACGGGGGAUGCGAGCGUUAUCCGGAUUUAUUGGGUUUAAAGGGCGCGUAGGCGGGACGACAAGUCAGCGGUAAAAGACUGCAGCUAAACUGUAGCACGCCGUUGAAACUGUCGACCUGGAGACGAGACGAGGGAGGCGGAACAAGUGAAGUAGCGGUGAAAUGCAUAGAUAUCACUUGGAACCCCGAUAGCGAAGGCAGCUUCCCAGGCUCGAUCUGACGCUGAUGCUCGAAAGUGUGGGUAUCAAACAGGAUUAGAUACCCUGGUAGUCCACACAGUAAACGAUGAAUACUCGCUGUUUGCGAUAUACAGUAAGCGGCCAAGCGAAAGCAUUAAGUAUUCCACCUGGGGAGUACGCCGGCAACGGUGAAACUCAAAGGAAUUGACGGGGGCCCGCACAAGCGGAGGAACAUGUGGUUUAAUUCGAUGAUACGCGAGGAACCUUACCCGGGCUUAAAUUGCAGUGGAAUGAUGUGGAAACAUGUCAGUGAGCAAUCACCGCUGUGAAGGUGCUGCAUGGUUGUCGUCAGCUCGUGCCGUGAGGUGUCGGCUUAAGUGCCAUAACGAGCGCAACCCUUAUCUUCAGUUACUAACAGGUCAUGCUGAGGACUCUGGAGAGACUGCCGUCGUAAGAUGUGAGGAAGGUGGGGAUGACGUCAAAUCAGCACGGCCCUUACGUCCGGGGCUGCACACGUGUUACAAUGGGGGGUACAGAAGGCAGCUAGCGGGUGACCGUAUGCUAAUCCCAAAAUCCUCUCUCAGUUCGGAUCGAAGUCUGCAACCCGACUUCGUGAAGCUGGAUUCGCUAGUAAUCGCGCAUCAGCCACGGCGCGGUGAAUACGUUCCCGGGCCUUGUACACACCGCCCGUCAAGCCAUGGGAGCCGGGGGUACCUGAAGUACGUAACCGCAAGGAUCGUCCUAGGGUAAAACUGGUGACUGGGGCUAAGUCGUAACAAGGUAGCCGUA
rnacentral:rRNA from 1 species